UAUACAAGACAUUAUGAAACGUAAGAUUUAAUUAUUAUACAUAUUUUGUAAAUUCCUUCAUAUAAAUAUAGGAUUGAAAUUAAAAUUACUAGGUUUAACUGAAGUCGUACAUAACUUUCUACCUCCACCCUUACUUAAAGAGAAACAUUCAUCCGCAAAUUGGGAUUUCUUCAUUUUAACCAAAAGUUAUGAAAUCGUGUCUUGAAAUAAAAAAAAAAUACUAAAGCUAAGUGUUUCUCUGUUAAUGGGCUUCCAAGAUGUCAAUUUGAUUAGUCAGGCCAGUGAUUGAUAGUAUUAAAGUGUAUUAUCGUCUCAUCUUAAAAGUUUAAGUUGUUAGUAGUUGUAAAUUCUUAUUUACUUUCAGGUGAAAAAACAAAAGCUGAACAAAUCUUUUCCAUCUUCCCAAUUCAUUAGGGUAAAGGGUGAAAUUUGUUUAGAUAAAUUUUUCUCUCUCAAUUGGACACGUGUAACUCAUCAUAUUCCACAAUGGAGCAAAAUAAGAGUAAAUACAAAGACGAUUUGAUAACGACCUAUGAAAUAAUAUAAAAACAAUUUCAUCGAUCAUAAUAAACAAAUUUGAACCUUUUCCCGAUCUACAACCAUAUACAUAUCUUUCUAGCAGCUUUACGCAUGCAUAUAGAUAUCUUAAUAAAUCAAGUCAAGAAGAUGAAAACUUCGAUUGGGUAAACGAAGCAUGUUUUGUGAAUAAAAAAGGUCGAUUUUUCCCUUCUUCAUUAUCAUCAUCAUCAUCGUCGUCGUGGAAUGUACUAAUGGUGAUACACGAGCAUCGUUCGAGGGAUGCAAAGAAGGCCGAUGCCAAACUUGUCCCAAUUCUAUUAGCCAUUUUAUCCAAUUUAUCGCAUGAAACAAAAUUGCAAUUCUGCUGCGACAUGGCAAAUUUGUAUUUUUUGUAGUACUAUAGGUUAAAUUUUAAUUAAAAACGACGUAUUUUUUUGCAGAUGGAAAGAAAGAAAGAUCCAAACGAUCAUCCACCAAAUAAUAUGGUGUGUGAUGGAUUGAAUCUUUCUUUCUAAACAAAAAAUCUUGAAUUCGCUCCUUUGAAAAUGAGAAAAAAAAAACUAUGGAUAAAGAAUGUGUCCCAUUUAAUAGGUCUUAUAUGGUGUGCAUUAGUUUGAGUACGUUGUAAUAGCUAAAUAGUUUCUCAUGAGUUUUACUGAGGGGAUAUAUUUUUAUGAAAUAGUUUAUUAUAAUCACCACACGUUUAUUGACAAUAAUGAUUGUAUCAUAAAUUAAAUUUAUUGUUUCGAUAUUUACAUUUGGCGAUUCUUGUGUGAUCACCAAAUAGAAAAAUGAAACUAGUAUUAGAUCCCAGUUAAAUGUAGUUUUGACUUUUGACUUUUUUAAAAAAAA
rnacentral:lncRNA from 1 species